rnacentral:rRNA from 1 species
UACGGAGGAUCCGAGCGUUAUCCGGAUUUAUUGGGUUUAAAGGGUGCGUAGGCGGACUGAUAAGUCAGUGGUGAAAUCCUGCAGCUUAACUGCAAAACUGCCAUUGAUACUAUCUGUCUUGAGUACAGUUGAGGUGGGUGGAAUUUAUCAUGUAGCGGUGAAAUGCAUAGAUAUGACAAAGAACACCAAUCGCGAAGGCAGCUCACCAAACUGUAACUGACGCUGAGGCACGAAAGCGUGGGGAU